GGCUGCGCGAUUCUGAUAGCUCUGGUGUUACGACGACCUUGAAAGUAUUUAAUACUAAAAUAUGAGCCUGUUUAAAACUUAGACUGAAUUUUUUCGAAAACAAUCAUUCAUACUUACAAUGCAACUUACAAAACUCACAAAGAAUACAUAUGUAGAUAUACUAAUAACUUUACAAGCAUUAACUAAUACAAUUCCUAUCCCUCUUACAGAACUCGCAAAGUUAAAGGCGAGGGAAAAAUAUANNNNNNNNUAUCUCAUAUCAAAAUCCUAUCCCUCUUACAGAACUUGCAAAGUUAAAGGCGAGGAAAACAUAAAUACUAAAACAAUACAGAAAUAUCGUCUAACAGAAAAGAAAUAAGCUCUUCCGAAC
rnacentral:lncRNA from 1 species